GGAGCAUGUGGUUUAAUUCGAUGAUACGCGAGAAACCUUACCAGGGCUUGACAUAUACAGGAAUGUUGUAGAGAUACAGCAGCCGCUUGCGGUCUGUAUACAGGUGCUGCAUGGCUGUCGUCAGCUCGUGCUGUGAAGUGUGGGUUAAGUCCCGCAACGAGCGCAACCCUACCAUCUGUUGCCAGCAUUUAAGGUGGGGACUCAGAUGAGACUGCCGGUGACAAACCGGAGGAAGGUGGGGACGACGUCAAGUCAUCAUGGCCCUUAUGUCCUGGGCUACACACGUGCUACAAUGGCCGGUACAGAGUGAAGCGAAACCGCGAGGUGAAGCAAAACGCAGAAAGCCGGUCUCAGUACGGAUUGGAGUCUGAAACUCGACUUCAUGAAGUUGGAAUCGCUAGUAAUCGCGCAUCAGCAUGGCGCGGUGAAUACGUUCCCGGGCCUU
rnacentral:rRNA from 1 species